rnacentral:rRNA from 1 species
AAUGGGUCAGCGACUUAUAUUCUGUAGCAAGGUUAACCGAAUAGGGGAGCCGAAGGGAAACCGAGUCUUAACUGGGCGUUAAGUUGCAGGGUAUAGACCCGAAACCCGGUGAUCUAGCCAUGGGCAGGUUGAAGGUUGGGUAACACUAACUGGAGGACCGAACCGACUAAUGUUGAAAAAUUAGCGGAUGACUUGUGGCUGGGGGUGAAAGGCCAAUCAAACCGGGAGAUAGCUGGUUCUCCCCGAAAGCUAUUUAGGUAGCGCCUCGUGAAUUCAUCUCCGGGGGUAGAGCACUGUUUCGGCAAGGGGGUCAUCCCGACUUACCAACCCGAUGCAAACUGCGAAUACCGGAGAAUGUUAUCACGGGAGACACACGGCG